rnacentral:other from 3 species
UAUGAACCUUGGGGCGAAUAAGUUGUUUCCGCCCUACAAGAUUUUCUAAGGGCGCGGUCCCUGAUCAUGGUGAGCAAGCUCACGCUUUGAACUCAAAGCAUAGUGAGAAGCCUAAAGUGGUUACUAAUCGCAUCCACCUGUCUAAAGACGGGCGGAACCUUAAAUCCACCCCAAGGUUCUUCU